rnacentral:rRNA from 1 species
AUUGAACGCUGGCGGCAGGCCUAACACAUGCAAGUCGAACGGUAACAGGCAGAAGCUUGCUUCUUUGCUGACGAGUGACGGGUGGGUGAGAAGUGUCUGGGCAACCGCCUGCUGUAGGGGGAUAACUACUGAAAACGGUAGCUAACAGCUCAUAACGUCGCCAGACCAAAGAGGGGGGCCAUGGGGCCUCUGGCGAUCGGAUGUGCCCGGCUGGGCUGCGAUUGUGGGUGGGGUUACGGUUCCCAUAGGCGGAGAUGCGUAGCUGGUCUGAGGGGGGGACCAGCCACACGGGAAGUGAGACACGGUCCAGACUCCUACGGGAGGGAGCAGUGGGGAAUAUUGGACAAUGGGCGCAAGCAUGAUGCAGCCAUGCCGCGUGUAUGACGAAGGCCUUCGGGUUGGAAAGUACUCUCAGCGGGGAGGAAGGGAGUAAAGUUAAUACCUUUGCUCAGUGACGUUACCCGCAGAAGAAGCACCGGCUAACUCCGUG